rnacentral:rRNA from 1 species
AUGAGAUCUAUUAGGCAACCUAGAUUACAGUUUGUAAUUUGCAUAUGUCGUGCGUUUCACAUACAGGAAUUGCAUAAGUUUGUAAUUCCUUGGCGGUUGCUAGCACAUUUUUGCUUCGGAUGCUUUCCUAAAAGUGAAUGUGCUGCAACUGCAAGGCAACUGAAUUCUGCUAACUUAUGUUUUUGGUCUGAAGUUGCUUUUGUCAGCAUUUGCCCUCUGAAAUCUCAAUGUCAGUUGCACAUCACUGAACUUGGUUCAGUUAAAAACUGCAGUGCCUGA